GCCAACAGUGCAUAGGAGGGGCAUAUGUUCAAGCAACUGCGUGCUGGUUGCUGUUUGACAAAAUAUGUGAAAAGCACAAGCUUUGGCACUAUGUAUUUACAUGUGUGCAUAUAUUUGAGACAUGGGAUUUUUUAUUCGCGUGUUUGCUGCAGUAACGAAGAAAAUAAAAGAGCUUGCUCCCCGGCUUCUGAAGUCUGAAAGAGCCCCAGUUUCCGGUAGAUGUGCUGCUUGAUCAUUUGGUCGACAUGUGGCUCUUGUGUUCGUACUCUGACGGACAAGGAGCACAAAGCGACUCAAAAGGUGGAAUAUCAAAUUGAAGGUCUCAAUGCAGUAAGCUUGACAAAGAAUAUAAAGGGACUUCAAGAAGUGAUGCUCUAUCUCUUAUACAUUUGUCUUCAAAAACAUAGGAAAUGCUGUGCGAGAAAAAAAGAACACUCAGCCAGGCAGGCGCUUAACUUCUUAUGAAUUUUAAGCAAUUCUUUUUGUGAUUACAUGGGACACACUGCUAAUUGUAAUUACUUUACCUCUUCAACUGUAUUGUAGGUUUAGAUACAGGAUAAAGGCAUGCAAGAUGAGGAGGAUUUGAGAUUCACCAACAGAAAAAUGUGUUAUAAGUUCACUGCAUGAUUUCCAUAAUGGAUAAUUCGUAUGGAUAACUGAGUGCAGUGAAAUCUUUAUACACCUUAGGCAUACUAAAACCUAGAGUUUUCCAUUGAUAAGACCAAGCGUCACUCUCAAUGAGCUAUAGAUAAAGAAAUGUGAUAUUUCAUUCUUGGAAUGUCAGUUUGCCUGGACAUGAUGGAAAUACCUGUGACAGAUUUCCAAGCUACAGAUUUGUUCGUGGUACCAUUAAGUUACGUCGGUUGUCCCUUUCCAUAUGG